GACAUCCACACCAAAACCCCAUGAUGAUGGUCACCAACAUCAAAGACCAAAGGUAGAUAAAACCACAAAGAUGGGGAGAAACCAGAGCAGAAAAGCUGAAAAUUCUAAAAACCAGAGAGCCUCUUCUCCUCCAAAGGAUUGCAGCUCCUCACCAGCACAGUGUGUAGAGGGAAAUUUAUAGCACUAAAUGCCCACAAAAGAAAGCAGGAAAGAUCUAAAAUUGACACCCUAACAUCACAAUUAAAAGAACUAGAGAAGCAAGAGCAAACACAUUCAAAAGCUAGCAGAAGGCAAGAAAUAACUAAGAUCAGAGCAGAACUGAAGGAGAUA
rnacentral:lncRNA from 1 species